GGAGUUGGCCAGACAGUCGCUGCCCACGUCGUCGACGCGGGGAGAGGAAAGUCCGGGCUCCACAGGGCAAGGCGCCAGGUAAUGCCUGGGAGGCGCAAGCCUACGGAAAGUGCCACAGAAAAUAUACCGCCACGGUCCUCCGGGACCGCGGUAAGGGUGAAAUGGUGCGGUAAGAGCGCACCGCGCUUCCGGUAACGGAAGUGGCAGGGCAAACCCCGCCCGGAGCAAGACCAAAUAGGGGGGCAUUGGAGGCAACUCCUGACGUGCGGCCCGCACGGCUCCCGGGUAGGUCGCUCGAGGCGCACGGUGACGCGCGCCCUAGAUGAAUGACUGUCCACGACUGAACCCGGCUUAUCGGCCGACUCCCCAU
rnacentral:RNase_P_RNA from 1 species